CAGUGGUAAUGCACUCGGCAAACGGCUCAGUAACACGUGGGUAAUCUACCAUCAGGUANAGGGAUAACCCCGGAAAACUGGGGAUAAUACCUGAUAGGUGGGGAAGUCUGGAACGACUCUCCGCUCAAAUGCUCCGGCGCCUGAGGAUGAGCCUGCGACCGAUUAGGUUGUUGCCGGUGUAAUGGACCACCAAGCCUGAGAUCGGUACGGGUGUUGAGAGACAGUGCCCGGAGAUGGGGACUGAGACACGGCCCCAGGCCCUACGGGGCGCAGCAGGCGCGAAAACUCCGCAAUACACGAAAGUGUGACGGGGGAACCCCAAGUGCGUUCACGCAAGUGAGUGCUUUUGUGAAGUGUAAAUAGCUUUAUGAAUAAAAGCUGGGUAAGACCGGUGCCAGCCGCCGCGGAAACACCGGCAGCUUGAGUGGUGAUCACUAUUAUUGGGCCUAAAGCGUCCGUAGCCUGUUUGGUAAGUCCUUGGGCAAAUCCUGUCGCUUAACGGCAGGAAUUCUGAGGAUACUGCCAGACUUGAGGUCGAGAGAGGUCGGAGGUACUCCUGGGGUAGCGGUGAAAUGCUAUAAUCCUGGGGGGACCACCAGUGGGCGAAAGCGUCCGACCAGAGCGAGCCUGA
rnacentral:rRNA from 1 species